GCUGUGGGAAUCUGACGCUGUGGUUUCUGCAUGAAAACAGUAGUUGAAAGUGGCUGGACCUACAGCACCACCUCUGCAGUCACAGUGAAGUCCACC
rnacentral:miRNA from 1 species